AUUGAACGCUGGCGGCAUGCCUUACACAUGCAAGUCGAACGGUAACAGCACUUCGGUGGCUGACGAGUGGCGAACGGGUGAGUAAUACAUCGGAACGUGCCCGAGAGUGGGGGAUAACGCAGCGAAAGCUGUGCUAAUACCGCAUACGAUCUACGGAUGAAAGCAGGGGACCGCAAGGCCUUGCGCUCAUGGAGCGGCCGAUGGCAGAUUAGGUAGUUGGUGGGAUAAAAGCUUACCAAGCCGACGAUCUGUAGCUGGUCUGAGAGGACGACCAGCCACACUGGGACUGAGACACGGCCCAGACUCCUACGGGAGGCAGCAGUGGGGAAUUUUGGACAAUGGGCGAAAGCCUGAUCCAGCCAUGCCGCGUGCAGGAUGAAGGCCUUCGGUUGUAACUAGCUUUGUACGGUAACGAAAAGGUACGUUUUACUUAAUUAAAGAAGGACUCAUGACGGUACCGUAACGAAUAAGACACCGGCUAACUAACGUGCCAGCACG
rnacentral:rRNA from 1 species